AUUGAACGCUGGCGGCAGGCCUAACACAUGCAAGUCGAGCGGAUGAAGGGAGCUUGCUCCGGGAUUCAGCGGCGGACGGGUGAGUAAUGCCUAGGAAUCUGCCUGGUAGUGGGGGAUAACGUCCGGAAACGGGCGCUAAUACCGCAUACGUCCUGAGGGAGAAAGUGGGGGUCUUCGGACCUCACGCUAUCAGAUGAGCCUAGGUCGGAUUAGCUAGUUGGUGGGGUAAAGGCCUACCAAGGCGACGAUCCGUAACUGGUCUGAGAGGAUGAUCAGUCACACUGGAACUGAGACACGGUCCAGACUCCUACGGGAGGCAGCAGUGGGGAAUAUUGGACAAUGGGCGAAAGCCUGAUCCAGCCAUGCCGCGUGUGUGAAGAAGGUCUUCGGAUUGUAAAGCACUUUAAGUUGGGAGGAAGGGCAGUAAGUUAAUACCUUGCUGUUUUGACGUUACCAACAGAAUAAGCACCGGCUAACUUCGUG
rnacentral:rRNA from 1 species